UACGAAGGGGGCUAGCGUUGUUCGGAAUUACUGGGCGUAAAGCGUGCGCAGGCGGCUUCUCAAGUCAGGGGUGAAAGCCCGGAGCUCAACUCCGGAACUGCCAUUGAAACUGUAAGACUUGAGGAUGAGAGAGGUGAGUGGAAUUCCGAGUGUAGAGGUGAAAUUCGUAGAUAUUGGGAAGAACACCGGUGGCGAAGGCGGCUCACUGGCUCAUAUCUGACGCUGAGGCGCGACAGCGUGGGGAUCAAACAGG
rnacentral:rRNA from 1 species